rnacentral:other from 1 species
AACCCUUGCGCCUAGGCUAAAACCAGUGUUAAACUAUUAUUGUAAUUUUGUUUGAGUUGCGAGUUGGUACACAUAUGUUUCCCUUUUCGUAAGCCAGCAAUGUUACAAUCAAUAAGUGCUUAGGCACGAGGAGGAUUUUAUUCAUGGAAAACGGAACAGUAAAAUGGUUUAACGCAGAAAAAGGUUUUGGCUUCAUCACUCGUGAAGAUGGCAGCGAUGUAUUCGUACAUUUCUCAGCUAUCCAAGGCGACGGCUUCAAAACAUUAGAAGAAGGACAAGCAGUAACUUUCGAUGUUGAAGAAAGCGAUCGCGGACCUCAAGCAGCUAACGUUAACAAGCAAUAAAACCACAAAGCCUUAGAGAAAUUUCUCUAAGGCUUUUU